GCCUUCUGAUUACCACAAAUAACCCCAGAUUAUGAAAAACUCUCUCCCUACGAGUGCGGCUUUGAUCCAGUAGGAUCAGCACGACUCCCUUUUUCCCUUCGAUUUUUUCUAGUCGCUAUUUUAUUUUUAUUAUUUGACCUAGAAAUUGCACUUCUUCUACCUUUACCCUGAGGAGACCAACUAUCUUCCCCCUUGACAACCUUUACCUGAGCAUCCCUAGUUCUAAUCCUACUAACCCUCGGGUUAGUUUACGAAUGAAUUCAAGGAGGUUUAGAAUGGGCAGAAUAGGCGCUUAGUUUAAGAAAAACAUUUGAUUUCGGCUCAAAAACUUAUGGUUAAAUUCCAUAAUUGCCUAAUGACCCCUAUCCACUUUGCUUUUUCUUCAACCUUUAUGUUAGGAUUGGCAGGACUUGCUUUCCACCGAGCUCACCUUCUUUCUGCCCUUCUUUGUUUAGAGGGUAUAAUAUUAUCACUCUUUAUUGCCUUGUCUAUCUGGACUUUAGAAUUUAACUCAACAAACUUUGCAAUAUCCGCUAUAAUUCUCCUAGCUUUUUCAGCCUGCGAAGCAAGUGCAGGUCUAGCAUUACUGGUAGCCAUAGCACGAACACACGGCACCGACAGCCUUCAAAGCCUCAACCUCUUACAAUGCUAAAAAUCCUAAUUCCCUCAAUAUUUAUGCUUUUAACAACAUGGACUUCCCCUUUUAAGCAACUUUGAUCUACAAUCCUAAUAUAUAGUUUUUUAGUAGCAACCCUUAGCUUGACUUGACUUGCCAUACCAACGGACACCGGAUGAUUCUACAUUAACAAUUACAUAGCCUAUGAUCCCCUUUCUUCUCCUCUACUCGUACUAACCUGCUGAUUACUUCCCCUGAUAAUUAUUGCCAGCCAAAAUCACCUGGCAGUAGAACCUGAAAAUCGUCAACGAACAUAUAUUUCCUUAUUAAUUUCUCUGCAAAUCUUUUUAAUCCUAGCAUUUAGUGCUACAGAAAUAAUUAUAUUUUAUGUUAUAUUUGAAGCCACGCUGAUUCCCACUUUAAUUAUUAUUACUCGCUGAGGUAAUCAAAUGGAGCGAUUAAACGCAGGAACCUAUUUUUUAUUUUAUACAUUAGCAGGGUCCCUUCCUUUACUUGUUGCCCUUUUAAUUUACCAUAGUUCUAUGGGCUCAUUAUCAUAUCUUUCUCUCACUAGUUUACCAUUAACAUGUUCUAAUUUAUAUGCAGAUAAGCUAUGAUGAAUAGCCUGCCUUUUAGCUUUUCUUGUUAAAAUACCAUUAUAUGGAGUUCACUUAUGACUACCAAAAGCCCACGUAGAAGCCCCUAUUGCUGGUUCAAUGGUCCUUGCCGCAGUUUUAUUAAAGCUGGGGGGUUAUGGAAUAAUGCGAAUCAUAAUUAUUCUAGACCCUUUAACUAAAGAACUAAGUUAUCCAUUUAUUAUCUUAGCCCUUUGGGGUGUAAUUAUAACUGGCUCAAUCUGUUUACGACAAACUGAUCUAAAAUCACUAAUCGCUUACUCAUCAGUAAGCCACAUAGGUUUAGUUGCAGCUGGUAUUUUAAUUCAGACCCCCUGAGGUUUUACAGGAGCCCUAAUUUUAAUAAUUGCCCAUGGCUUAACUUCGUCAGCCUUAUUCUGCCUGGCUAAUACUAAUUACGAACGAACUCAUAGUCGGACUAUUAUUCUUGCCCGAGGUCUACAGAUAGUUCUCCCAUUAAUAGCUACUUGAUGAUUCCUUGCUAGCCUAGCAAAUUUAGCACUGCCUCCUCUCCCUAAUCUUAUAGGUGAAAUUAUAAUUAUUACUUCUUUAUUUAAUUGAUCUUUCUACACGCUUAUUUUAACUGGCCUUGGUACUCUAAUUACUGCAAGUUAUUCCCUUUACAUAUUUCUUCUAACCCAACGAGGCCCAAUCCCCCAUCAUUUGAUCUUAUUAGAACCCUCUCACACCCGGGAACACCUUCUUCUUGCCCUGCAUCUCCUCCCAUUACUGUUGCUUAUUGCCAAGCCAGAGUUGGUUUGAGGAUGAACAGCCU